rnacentral:rRNA from 1 species
UACAGAUGGGGCUAGCGAUGUUCGGAAUUACUGGGCGUAAAGCGCGCGUAGGCGGAUCUGUAAGUUGGGGGUGAAAUCCCGAGGCUCAACCUCGGAACUGCCUUCGAUACUGCAGAUCUCGAGUCCGAGAGAGGUGAGUGGAAUUCCUAGUGUAGAGGUGAAAUUCGUAGAUAUUAGGAAGAACACCAGUGGCGAAGGCGGCUCACUGGCUCGGUACUGACGCUGAGGCGCGAAAGCGUGGGGAGCAAACAGG